rnacentral:rRNA from 1 species
UACGUAGGGGGCAAGCGUUGUCCGGAAUCAUUGGGCGUAAAGAGCGUGUAGGCGGCUCGGUAAGUCCGCUGUGAAAGUCCAGGGCUCAACCCUGGAAUGCCGGUGGAAACUGUCGAGCUAGAGUCCGGAAGAGGCGAGUGGAAUUCCUGGUGUAGCGGUGGAAUGCGCAGAUAUCAGGAGGAACACCAAUAGCGAAGGCAGCUCGCUGGGACGUACUGACACUGAGGCGCGAAAGCGUGGGGAGC